rnacentral:rRNA from 1 species
AUGAUUCUUGUCUUUGCAAAUUUUCUCAAUGCUGAACUACCCAUGUUAUAUAUUAGCAGGAUGGUUAGACCAGGUGGUCGUGGUCGUGGUGGCAAUGCCCCACCACCACGUGAGUACAUGGCUGGUAUGAUCCAACAGUUCGAACUGAACCGCCAAUUCAUGGAAAAUAUGAUGGCUCAGUUUCCUCGCCCCAAUAUGGACCAACCACCAACCCUAGUAACUCUGCAGGAUUUCAUGCGCCUCAAUCCAACUGUGUAUCGCAGCUCAACUCAACCUCUGGAUGCUGAUGACUGGCUCCGUGACAUCACCUAUGAGAUGGAGCCUGCCGAUGUAGCCCCUGCCAGCUAUGUCAACUUUGCUUCCUUCUUUCUGAAGGGACCCGCAGCUCAAUGGUGGGACAGCCACAGGCGUACUCUGCCAGCUGGAACAAUCAUCACAUGGCCAGACUUCCAAGCAGCUUUCCGUGCCCGUUUCAUUCCUCAGGGAGUCAUGGACCGGAAGAAGCGUGAGUUCCGCAACCUCACCCAAGGCAACAAAACUGUUGAAGCUUAUCAACGGGAGUUUCUGGACUUGUCUCGCUAUGCUGAAGAGGACAUUGCAACUGAUGCACGCAGACAGGAGAAGUUCCGUGAUGGCCUUCAAGCUGACAUCAAGCUCGCACUUCUAGUGCAUGACUUUGCUGAUUUCGCCACCUUGGUGAACAAGGCCAUCAAUGUCGAAACUGGUCUGCAGGAAUACCAGAGCUCUCACAGGCGCAACCGUGACACGGGCUCAUCUUCGGGCCCGCCCUCACAGAAGCGUAAGAUAUGGAUCCCGAACAGCAUGUACCGUCCAAAUGCAUCUGCCCCAAGGCAGACCUAUGCUGCACCUCGUCUGCCUCCACCACCAUCUAGGCAGACAAGACUUCCAGCUCCACCGUCCCAAGCUCCUGUUCCCACUCCUAAUAAUGGCUUGUGCUUCAGGUGUGGUCAACCAGGACACCGUGCUAGAGAAUGCAACCAGAACCAGAAUCAACUGGCCCUUCCAGCAACUGGCCGUGGUAACAACCAGCCCCGCAACAACAAUGCUAAGUCUUAUGGUCGUGCUCAUGCCAACCACGUUGAUCUCAACGAAGCUCAAGACCAGCCUGCUACUGUGAUGGGUACACUCCUCGUAAAUUCAGUACCAGCAUCCGUUUUAUUUGAUACAGGUGCAUCGCAUUCAUUCAUGUCAGAAGAUUUUGCAUACAAGCACGACGUUAAAUGUGAGGAGAUGAACACCUCGGUAUUGGUCAAAACCCCCGUGGGACAGUGUCAAACCUCCCUGGUUGGCAUCGAUGUCCCCGUGGAAGUCGAAGGGCUGGAAUUCUAUGCCUCUCCCAUUAUCCUGAAGUCGUCUAACAUCGACCUCAUUUUGGGGAUGGAUUGGUUGAAAGCGCAUACUGCUUCUAUAGUUUGCGCCACUAAGACCGUUCAUCUACUUCACCCUUUAGAUGAAAUAGUUGCUUACCAAGCUCAUCUGGUGCAAAAUGCCGAGGCCAGGCUCUAUGCAUUGAAUGCAUUGAACGCUGCACCACUCGAGGGCAUUGAAAACAUUCCCGUCGUGCGUGAAUUCCUCGACGUCUUCCCUAAAGAACUUCCAGGGAUUCCCCCUGCUAGAGCUGUGGAAUUCAUCAUCGACUUGAAACCAGGCACCACUCCUAUAGCCAAGCGACCCUACAAGAUGCCGCCGCAUGAACUCCUUGAGCUUAAGGAGGAAAUAGACAAUUCUCUUCGCAAAGGAUUCAUUCGCCCCAGUUGCUCUCCUUGGGGAGCACCUUCUCUCUUUGUCAAGAAGAAGGAUGGGACAAACCGAUUAGUUCAAGACUACCGUCCUAUAAACCAAGCCACCAUUCAGAAUAAGUAUCCUCUUCCUCGGAUCAAUGAUUUGUAUGAUCAACUGGCUGGUUCAUCAGUGUUCUCUAAGCUCGACUUGAGGCUGGGUUACCACCAGAUCCGUGUUCGCGAAGAGGAUAUCCCAAAGACCGCCUUCGUGACUCGAUAUGGUUCAUACGAGUACACCGUCAUGUCUUUCGGUUUAACCAAUGCUCCAGCCACCUUCUCUCGUCUGAUGAACUAUAUAUUCAUGGAUUACCUCGACAAGUUCGUUGUGGUUUAUCUGGAUGAUAUCCUGGUAUUUUCCAAGAACGAAGAAGAACAUGCUGAACAUCUUCGACUUGUGCUGGAAAAGCUACGAGAGCAUCAACUAUAUGCCAAGUUCUCCAAAUGUGAAUUCUGGCUACCCGAAGUAACCUAUCUUGGGCAUGUCAUCUCUAAGGAUGGUAUUGCCGUCAACCCUGAAUGA